UACGUAGGGGGCAAGCGUUGUCCGGAUUUAUUGGGCGUAAAGAGCGUGUAGGCGGCCAGGUAGGUCAGCUGUGAAAACUCGAGGCUCAACCUCGAGAUGUCGGCUGAAACCAUCUGGCUAGAGUCCGGAAGAGGAGAAUGGAAUUCCCGGUGUAGCGGUGAAAUGCGCAGAUAUCGGGAAGAACACCCGUGGCGAAGGCGGUUCUCUGGGACGGUACCGAGCUGAGACGCGAAAGCGUGGGGAGCGAACAGG
rnacentral:rRNA from 1 species